GGAAUCUGUUGAUGGCUGAGAAGGCCGACAGCUCCACGAGUGUGUGUGGAUCUCUGAGGACACAAGUCUCCCACAAAGUUCUUACCCUGAGGGGAAACAGAGACGAGAGACAUUUUAAACCAAGAAACAAGACACAUAUGCAGGUAGUGUAUAGCCAGCACGCCAUCCCCUGGCUCCACCAGGCCGUCCUUGAGCAGCACCCUCAGGGUGAUGCCUCUCCGGGUC